GACGGAGGGUGCUAGCGUUGUUCGGAAUCACUGGGCGUAAAGGGCGCGUAGGCGGCCUUGCAAGUCGGUUGGUGAAAGCCCGGGGCUCAACCCCGGAGGUGCGGCCGAGACUGCAGGGCUGGAGGCCGGAAGAGGAGGGCGGAAUACCCAGUGUAGAGGUGAAAUUCGUAGAUAUUGGGUGGAACACCGGUGGCGAAAGCGGCUCUCUGGUCCGGACCUGACGCUGAGGCGCGAAAGCGUGGGGAGCAAACAGGG
rnacentral:rRNA from 1 species